rnacentral:lncRNA from 1 species
GUGCCAGCGAGUGAGCGAGCCAUGCCAACGCGCAAGUUGAAGUCCGGCCACUGACCGCGAGCGAGCCCUGGCGGCGAUAGGGCGGCGAUCGACCGAGAAAGAGGGAUUGGAAGAGAGCGAGCAUGCGAGAGCGAGAAAUGGGGAGCGAGCGAGGUCACCUCAGAUCAGCAGCACUCCACGCCUAACUUCCAGUUCAAAUCUACUCCCUAACCUCUUUUUUAACUUGAUCGAAGGACCUCGAGUGAGACCUCGGCUCCACGCCUUCCAGUGACCGCGAAUGAGAUCAUUUCGCGAGCAACAGUUUUCCACAUCCGACGAGCGACAGAUACAACUACCAGAAGAUAGGAGGAAACCUCGCUAUUGGUUUUUGACCUUCAAGCCGAGGAUUAGCACGCCACAUCUAUUCCAUAUAUCUUAUCUACUUUUAGUUAUUUAGUUAAUUGGCUUGUAAUCUUUUAAUUUUCUGUUUAAUCAAAA